UGCGAAUGCUACCGAGAGGAAGAGGAUCA
rnacentral:piRNA from 1 species